CGGGGUGCAGCAGGCGCGAAAACUUUGCAAUAAGCGAAAGCUUGACAGGGCUAUCCCGAGUGCCAUCCGCUGAGGAAGGCUUUUACCCAGUCUAGAACGCUGGGGGAAUAAGGAGAGGGCAAGUCUGGUGUCAGCCGCCGCGGUAAUACCAGCUCUCCGAGUGGUGUGGAUGUUUAUUGGGCCUAAAGCAUCCGUAGCUGGCUAGGUUAGUCCCCUGUUAAAUCCACCGAAUUAAUCGUUGGAUUGCGGGGGAUACUGCUUGGCUAGGGGACGAGAGAGGCAGACGGUAUUUCCGGGGUAGGGGUGAAAUCCUAUAAUCCCGGGAAGACCACCAGUGGCGAAGGCUGUCUGCUAGAACGCGCCCAACGGUGAGGGAUGAAAGCUGGGGGAGCGAACCGGAUUAGAUACCCGGGUAGUCCCAGCUGUAAACGAUGCAGACUAGGUGUUUGAACGGCCACGUGCCGUUCUAGUGCCGCAGGGAAGCUGUUAAGUCUGCCGCCUGGGGAGUACGAUCGCAAGAUUGAAACUUAAAGGAAUUGGCGGGGGAGCAC
rnacentral:rRNA from 1 species